rnacentral:tRNA from 1 species
GCCAGCAUGGCAUAGUGGCUUGGGUGUUGGACUACAGCUCUGGAGAUCAGGGUUCGAUUCCUCGCUUGGCC